CUAGUUACCCCUUCCCUCACUCUGUCACUAGUCACCCCCUCACUCUAGUGACAGAGUGAGGGAGGGGGUGACUAGUGACAGAGUGAGGGAGGGAAGUGGUGACUAGUGACAGAGGUAGGGAGGGAAGGGGUGACUAGUGGCAGAGUGAGGAAGGGGUGACUAGUGGCAGAGUGAGGAAGGGGUGACUAGGGACAGUCACCACCUCCCUCACUCUGUCACCAGUCAUCCCCUCACUCUGUCACUAGUCACCCCUUCCUUCCCUCACUCUGCCACUAGUCACCCCUUCCCUCACUCUGUCACCCCCUCACUCUGUCACUAGUCACCCCCUCACUCUGUCACUAGUCACCCCCCCCCACUCUAGUGA